rnacentral:rRNA from 1 species
AUAGAGACUCAGAGCUGCAUAUCAAUAAGCGGAGCAAAAGAAACUAACAAGGAUUCCCUUAGUAACGGCGAGUGAAGCGGGAAGAGCUCAAAUUUGAAAUCUUCAAGGUUCUACCUUGACGAAUUGUAGUUUAUAGAAGUGUUUUCUGUUAGAGAGGUGGUAAAAGUUCUUUGGAAUAGGACAUCAUAGAGGGCGAGAAUCCCGUAUUUGAUCACUUUCUACUAACGUUGUGAUACACUUUCAAAGAGUCGGAUUGUUUGGGAAUGCAGUCCAAAAUGGGUGGUAAAUUUCAUCUAAAGCUAAAUAUUGGCGAGAGACCGAUAGCGAACAAGUACCGUGAGGGAAAGAUGAAAAGAACUUUGAAAAGAGAGUUAAACAGUACGUGAAAUUGUCAAAAGGGAAGCGUUUGACACCAGUGUUGUUUUCUCGAAAAUCAAUUAAAAAUGGUGGGAUGUUGUGUUGUAUUGACUUUAUCAGCUUUCUGCACUUUUUUUCCUAUCUUUUUUAAUGCACUUUUCGUUUAACAAGUCAACAUCAAUUUCUUUUGUUGUAAAAGAGUAUGAGGAAGGUGGCUUUCUUUUCGGAGAAAGUGUUUAUAGCCUUGUACUCCUGCAAUCGGAGAGAUUGAGGUCUGCAGCGUAGAUCCUUCGGGGUUAGAUACAUUUGUGCUAAGCUAUAGCCUUUUAUAGACAACUUGUUGACUACGCUUCAGUCAUUGUAGCUUACUCGCUUAUGCUAUUUUACCUACGCUUAGGAUGUUGAAGAUAUGCGCGACACG